AGAGUUUGAUCCUGGCUCAGGAUGAACGCUGGCGACGUGCUUAACACAUGCAAGUCGAACGAAGCACUUUAUUUGAUUUCCUUCGGGACUGAUUAUUUUGUGACUGAGUGGCGAACGGGUGAGUAACGCGUGAGUAACCUGCCCUAGAGUGGGGGACAACAGUUGGAAACGACUGCUAAUACCGCAUAAGCCCACGGUACCGCAUGGUACUGAGGGAAAAGGAUUUAUUCGCUUUAGGAUGGACUCGCGUCCAAUUAGCUAGUUGGUGAGGUAACGGCCCACCAAGGCGACGAUUGGUAGCCGGACUGAGAGGUUGAACGGCCACAUUGGGACUGAGACACGGCCCAGACUCCUACGGGAGGCAGCAGUGGGGAAUAUUGCACAAUGGGCGAAAGCCUGAUGCAGCGACGCCGCGUGAGCGAAGAAGUAUUUCGGUAUGUAAAGCUCUAUCAGCAGGGAAGAUAAUGACGGUACCUGACUAAGAAGCACCGGCUAAAUACGUGCCAGCAGCCGCGGUAAUACGUAUGGUGCAAGCGUUAUCCGGAUUUACUGGGUGUAAAGGGAGCGCAGGCGGUGCGGCAAGUCUGAUGUGAAAGCCCGGGGCUCAACCCCGGUACUGCAUUGGAAACUGUCGUACUAGAGUGUCGGAGGGGUAAGCGGAAUUCCUAGUGUAGCGGUGAAAUGCGUAGAUAUUAGGAGGAACACCAGUGGCGAAGGCGGCUUACUGGACGAUAACUGACGCUGAGGCUCGAAAGCGUGGGUAGCAAACAGGAUUAGAUACCCUGGUAGUCCAUGCCGUAAACGAUGA
rnacentral:rRNA from 1 species